AGACAUUAUCAUGGGAAUCGUCUGCCAAGCUCUGUGUCUUGCGGGCUUCUCCUUUCCCUUUGCCGAACUACAAGCUCAAAUUUAAGUGCUUAUCCAUCCCAAGAGUUCCGAAAAGUGCAUGUAUACCAAAGAUUAUGCUGAGAAAAACAGAGCUUCUGCUGGUGUAUAAGGGUGAUGCAUGGGCUCCUCCCAUCUCUUGCCUCGGUUUGCCCCCAUGGCCUGGCCUCUUGGCUUCUCCAAGGUCUCCUUCUGGUAGGGGAGAUCGUGUUAUCUUGUCUGCAUCCUCUUCG